GUUCGCUGGUCUCCGGAGGCACCCGACGUCCCUACAGCUCUUGGAGCGAGAGCCCAGAAAGACCACUGGACCCCUGAGGCCUCGCGCUUGGGACAGGAAUUCUGGGAAUUUGGCUAGAGUUUUGAUAAGACUCUUCCAAAAGCUUUGACUGCCACAGAGAAAGAAAAUAUCGACAGUUUGUAUAAAGAACAAAAGGCUGAACUAUGAUAGCCACUGGUGGAGUAAUCACUGGCCUGGCCGCCCUGAAAAGACAAGACUCUGCC
rnacentral:lncRNA from 1 species